GUCUGACGCAGCAACACCGGCGUGGAGGAUGGGGGACGCCGUUCGGGUUAGUAAACUCCUUUCGUGGGGGAAGAGAAAGGACGGUACCCAGGAAUAAGUCUCGGCUAACUACGUGCCAGCAGCCGCGGUAAAACGUAGGAGGCGAACGUUAUCCGGAUUUACUGGGCGUAAAGCGCAUGCAGGCGGUUUCUUAAGUCGGACGUGAAAGCUCCUGGCUCAACCGGGAGAGGUCGUUCGAAACUGGGGAACUUGAGGAUGGUAGAGGAGAGUGGAAUUCCCGGUGUAGUGGUGAAAUGCGUAGAUAUCGGGAGGAACACCAGUGGCGAAGGCGGCUCUCUGGGCCAUUCCUGACGCUAAGAUGCGAAAGCUAGGGGAGAGAACGGGAUUAGAUACCCUGGUAGUCCACGCCGUAAACGAUGUCAACUAGCCGUUGGUCUUAUUCGUAAGAUUAGUGGCGUAGCUAACGCGAUAAGUUGACCGCCUGGGGAGUACGGCCGCAAGGUUA
rnacentral:rRNA from 1 species